CCUGCCUGCACCUUCUGAGAGCAGCUGAGCCCAGAGCCAUCUGAGUCAGGUGGAAGGAGGCUUCAGGGAGCUGGAUGAUGUCACCGUUGAAGAUACUGAUAUGAGAAAAUACAAGUGGAUGAACAAACAGAAAUGUUCAACAAAAGCAAGCCUGUGAGGUGUCAAGCACCUGUAGGGGCUGCAGCAUGCAACAGUCACCCUCUUCAGUGCUUGCGUUAUACACAAUUUCUGUUCACAGGGGAGGAAGUGAAAAAGGGUGGACAGAUGGUUUGGGACCAUGAGUUCUCCAUCAAAGUUUGUGAUACAUCGUCUCCAAAGAGGGAACAUCCAGCAGCUGAAGAGAUGGCUCAGCAUUUAAGAGCACUGCCUGCUCUUGCAGAGGACUGGUGUUUGAUUCUCAGCACCUACCACCAUCUGUAAUGGUAAAUUCAACAACAGGGAAAUUGGACACCCUCUUCUGACCUCCUCGGGCAUUGCACAACAUGGCUGCACUUACCUACAUUCAGGCAAUACACUUAUACACAUAAAAAUAAUAAAUAAAAUAUUUUUUAGAAGAGGCAACAUCCAUAAAUUCAUAAAAUUUACAGUGGCUGUCAGUCUUAAGAAUGGUGUGGCACCUGUAGCUGUGUUUAUAUGUCAAAAAACAUACCAGAAACUAGCAUUACUUCUCUCCUCCUGUGAUCAUGACCAUUCUACAUAGUGCUAGGGCCUCACUUGGAGUGGCUGGGAUACUGUACUUUCCAUUUAGCUGGCGACCACAUUCCACACCAGUACUGGCCAUAAACCUCUUGUCAAGAGCUUUCUCCCUCAUUCUAUUUAUUAUUAAGAUGAUUGAAUAUAAUUUACAUUCUAUACACCUCACCAUUUACAAGUAUAUAAUCCAGAGGCUUUUAGCAUAUUUGCAAAGUUAUACAGUCAUUACUAGCAUCUAAUUACUAGCAUCUAGUUACAGACAUUUUCUCUCCAAAUCCCCCUACCUAUGAGCAGCUCCACAGCCCUUGGUAACCACUCAUCCACUUUCUAUCUAUAUGGAUUUGCACAGCCUGGGCAUUUUGAAUAAAUGGAACCAUACAACAUGUGGCCUUAUGAGCUUGGUUUUUUUCCCACUUAUCAUGAUGCUUUCAAGGUUUAUCCAUGUUGUAGCAUGAAUCAGUAUUUUAUUCCUUUUAUUUAUUGGAAAUAUGACAUUUUGUUUAUUUAUGGGCCAGUUGCUGGUCAUUUAGACUGUCUCCAGCUUUGGGCCAUCAUAAUAGUAUAUAUGAAUAGAAUUGCUAGAUUAUAGGUUGCCUAUAAAUUGAACCUUUUGGAGAACCACCAAAUUGUUUUUUAUUGUAGUUGUAAUAUUUUAUAUGUCUACCAACAAUGUAUGAGGGUUUCAAUUUCUCUACAUCUCUGCCAAAAUUAUUAUUUUCUGUGCUAUUUUACUUCUCUUUUUAUGUUUAUGUACAUAUGUGUGAUUCCAGCCCCCUUAGUGGAUAACAGUAGUAGCAUAUCAUGGCUGUAAGAACUUAAAAAGGUUUUUUAUGAAUGAGUGCUCAUUCAUUAAAGGAGGGCCAAGCAGGGUCAUUGGACCCUCAAUGGAGUAUCCAGCCACUCUUCCCAGCC